rnacentral:lncRNA from 1 species
ACCUAUUAAAUCAUAUUUACCUAGCUGACUCUUGUAUGCGCAAUUUAUUUUUUGGCAAAUCAUAUUUAUUAGAAGCUUACUAAUAAUAUACAUCAGUAAACUAUUCACUGACUAAAGGAUAACCUUGAAGGAAAUAUGCCCUAGAGGCAAUAAUAAAGUUAUUAUUUAUUUCCUUAUUUCAUAAUAAAUGUUUAUUAUUCAUGCUAUAAUUGUAUUAACCGGAAACAUAAUACAUGUGUGAAUACAUAGACAAACAUACUGUCACUAGUAUGCCUCUACUUGACUAGCUCAUUAAUCAAAGAUGGUUAAGUUCCCUAACCAUAGACAUGAGUUGUCAUCUGAUUAACAGGAUCAAAUCAUUAGGAGAAUGAUGUGAUUGACUUGACCCAUUCCGUUAGCUUAGCACUUGAUCGUUUUGUAUGUUGCUAUUGCUUUCUUCAUGACUUAUACAUGUUCCUAUGACUAUGAGAUUAUGCAACUCCCGUUUAAUGGAGGAACACUUUGUGUGCUACCAAACAUCACAACUUAACUGGGUGAUUAUAAAGGUGCUCUAUAGGUGUCUCCGAAGGUACUUGUUGAGUUGGCGUAUUUCGAGAUUAGGAUUUGUCACUCCGAAUGUCGGAGAGAUAUCUCUGGGCCCACUCAGUAAUGCACAUCACUAUAAGCCUUGCAAGCAUUGUAACUAAUGAGUUAGUUACGGGAUGAUGUAUUACGAAACAAGUAAAGAGACUUACCAGUAAGGAGAUUGAACUAGGUAUUGGGAUACCGACGAUCGAAUCUCGGGCAAGUAACAUACCGAUGACAAAGAGAACAACGUAUAGUGUUAUGUGGUUUGACCGAUAAAGAUCUUCAUAGAAUAUGUAGGAACCAAUAUGAGCAUCCAGGUUCCUCUAUUGGUUAUUGACCAGAGACAUGUCUCGGUCAUGUCUACAUAGUUCUCGAACCCGUAGGGUCCGCACGCUUAAAGUUUUGUGACGAUCGGUUUUAUGAGUUUAUAUGUUUUGAUGUACUGAAGGUAGUUCGGAGUCCCGUAUAUGAUCAUGGACAUGACUAGGAGUCUCGAAAUGGUUGAGACAUAAAGAUUGAUAUAUUGGAAGCCUACAUUUGGACAUCGGAAGAGUUCCGGGUAAAAUCGGGAUUUUACCGGAGUACCGGAGGGGUUACCGGAACCCCCCGGGGGCUAAUGGGCCUUGUUGGGCCAUAAGGGAAAGAGAGAGGGGCUGGCCUAGGGUAGGCAACGCGCCCCCUCCCUCUGGUCCGAAUUGGACUAGGAGAGGGGGGGGGGGGCUUUCCUUCUCUUUCUUCCCCUUCCUUUCCCCCUCCUAGUAGGACUAGGAAACGGAGGAAUCCUACUCCUACUAGGAGGAUGAUUCCUCCUCCUGGCGCACCAACAAGGGCCGGCCGACCUCCCCCUUGCUCCUUUAUAUACAGGGGUAGGGGGCACCUCUGGACACACAAGUUGAUCACAAAGAUCUCUCCCAGCCGUGUGCGGUGCCCCCCUCCACUAUAAUCCACCUCGGUCAUACUGUAGCGGUGUUUAGGCGAAGCCCUGCUGUGGUAGCUUCAUCAACAUCGUUACCACGCUGUCGUGCUGAUGAAACUCUUCCCCGAGCUCUACUGGAUCGUGAGUUUGUGGGAUGUCACCGAGCUGAACGUGUGCUGAACACGGAGGUGCCGUACAUUCGGUACCGAGGAUCGGUCGAUCGUGAAGACGGACGACUACAUCAACCGCAUUGUCAUAACACUUCCGCUUAGCGGUCUACGAGGGUACGUGGACGACACUCUCCCCUUCGUUGCUAUGCAUCACCAUGAUCCUGCGUGUGCAUAGGAUUUUUGUGAAAUUACUAUGUUUCCUAACAGCGGCAUCCGAGCCAGUUUUAUGCAUGGAUGUUAUAUGCACGAGUAGAACACAAGUGAGUUGUGGGUGAUACAAGUCAUACUGCUUACCAACAUGUCAUACUUUGGUUCGGCGGUAUUGUUGGAUGAAGCGGCCCGGACCGACAUUACACGUACGCAUACGCGAGACUGGUUCUAUCGACGUGCUUUGCACAUAGGUGGCUGGCGGGUGUCAGUUUCUCCAACUUUAGUUGAACCGAGUGUGGCUACGCUCGGGCCUUGAGAAGGUUAAAACAACACUAACUUGACGAACUAUCGUUGUGGUUUUGAUGCGUAGGUAAGAACGAUUCUUGCUCAGCCCGUAGCAGCCACGUAAAACUUGCAACAACAAAGUACAGGACGUCUAACUUGUUUUUGCAGGGCAUGUUGUGAUGUGAUAUGGUCAAGACAUGAUGCUAUAUUUAUUGUAUGAGAUGAUCAUGUUUUGUAACGGAGUUAUCGGCAACUGGCAGGAGCCAUAUGGUUGUCGCUUUAUUGUAUGCAAUGCAAUCGCCCUGUAAUUGCUUUACUUUAUCACUAAGUGGUAGCGAUAGUCGUAGAAGCAAUAGAUGACGAGACGACAAUGAUGCUACGAUGGAGAUCAAGGUGUCGCGCCGGUGAUGAUGGUGAUCAUGACGGUGCUUUGGAGAUGGAGAUCAAAGGCACAAGAUGAUGAUGGCCAUAUCAUAUCACUUAUAUUGAUUGCAUAUGUGAUGUUUAUCCUUUAUGCAUCUUAUUCUUCUUUGUUUGACGGUAGCAUUAUAAUAUGAUCUCUCACUAAAUUUCAAGGCAAACGUGUUCUCCCUGAGUAUGCACCAUUGCCAAAGUUCGUCGUGCCAAGACACCACAUGAUGAUCGGGUGUGAUAAGCUCAACGUUCAUCUACAACGGGUGUAAGACAGUUUUACACACGCAGAAUACUCGGGUUAAACUUGACGAGCCUAGCAUAUGCAGAUAUGGCCUCGGAACACUGAGACCGAAAGGUCGAGCGUGAAUCAUAUAGUAGAUAUGAUCAACAUAGUGAUGUUCACCAUUGAAAACUACUCCAUCUCACGUGAUGAUCGAACAUGGUUUAGUUGAUUUGGAUCACGUGAUCACUUAGAUGAUUAGAGGGAUGUCUAUCUAAGUGGGAGUUCUUAAGUAAUAUGAUUAAUUCAACUUUAAUUUAUCAUGAACUUAGUCCUGGUAGUAUUAGCAUAUCUAUGUUGUAUAUCAAUAGCUCGCGUUUAGCUCCCCUGUUUUAUUUUUGAUAUGUUCCUAUAGAAAAAUAAGUUGAAAGAUGUUAGUGGGAAAGAUGCGGACUAGCUCCGUGAUCUGAGGAUUAUCCUCAUUACUACACAAAAGUAUUAUGUCCUUGAUGCACCGCUAGGUGACAGAACUAUUGCAGGAGCAGAUGCGGAUGUUUUGAACGUUUUGACAAAAGCUCGGUAUGAUAAAAUGUUUUGAACGCCACGGAGCAUAUAAGAUGUUCCAAGAGUUGAAAUUGGUAUUUCAUACUCAUACCCGUGUCGAGAGGUAUGAGACCUCUGACAUUACUUUGCCUACAAGAUUGAGGAGAAUAGCUCAACCAGUAAGCAUGUGCUCAGAUUGUCUAAGUACUACAAUCACUUGAAUCAAGUGGGAGUUAAUCUUCCAGAUAAGAUAGUGAUUGACAGAGUUCUCUAGUCACUAUCACCAAGUUGCUAGAACUUCAUGAUGAACUAUAAUAUGCAAGGGAUAACAGAAACGAUUCCCAAGCUCUUCGUGAUGCUGAAAUCGAUGAAGGUAGACAUCGAGAAAAGCAUCAAGUGUUGAUGGUUAACAAGACCACUAGUUUCAAGAAAAGGGCAAAGGUAAGAAGGGGAACUUCAAGAAGAACGGCAAGCAAGUUGCUGCUCAAGUGAAGAAGCCCAAGUAUGGACCUAAGCCUGAGACUAAGUGCUUUUACUGCAAAGGGACUAGUCACCGGAAGCGGAACUGCCCCAAGUAUUUGGCGGAUAAGAAGGAUGGCAAAGUGAACAAAGGUAUAUUGGAUAUACAUGUUAUUGAUGUGUACUUUACUAGUGUUUAUAGCAACCCCUCGCUUUUUGAUACUAGUUCAGUUGCUAAGAGUAGUAACUUGAAACGGGAGUUGCAGAAUGAACAGAGACUAGUUAAGGGUGAAGUAACGAUGUGUCUUGGAAGUAGUUCCAAGAAUGAUAUGAUCAUCAUCGUACACUCCCUAUACUUCCAGGAUUAGUGUUGAACCUAAAUAAGUGUUAUUUGGUGUUUGCGUUGAGCAUGAAUAUGAUUUGAUCAUGUUUAUUGCAAUACAAUUAUUCAUUUAAGUUAGAGAAUAAUUGUUAUUCUAUUUACAUGAAUAAAACCUUCUAUGGUUAUACACCCAAUGAAAAUGGUUUGUUGAAUCUCGAUCGUAGUGAUACACAUAUUCAUAAUAUUGAAGCCAAAAGAUGCAGAGUUAAUUUCGAUAGUGCAACUUAUUUGUGGCACUGCCGUUUAGGUCAUAUUGGUGUAAAGUGCAUGAAGAAAAUCCAUGCUGAUGGGCUUUUGGAAUCACUUGAUUAUGAAUCAGUUGAUGCUUGUGAACCAUGCCUCAUGGGCAAAGAUGACUAAGACUCCGUUCUCCAGAACAAUGGAGCGAGCAACUGACUUAUUGGAUAUAAUACAUACUGAUGUAUGAGGUCCGAUUAGUGUUGAGGCUCGUGGCGGGUAUCAUUAUUUUCUGACCUUCACAGAUGAUUUGAGUAGAUAUGGGUAUAUCUACUUGAGGAAACAUAAGUCUGAAACAUUUGAAAAGUUUAAAGAAUUUCAGAGUGAAGUGGAAAAUCAUCAUAACAAGAAAAUAAAGUUUCUACAAUCUGAUCGCAGAGGCAAAUAUUUGAGUUAUGAGUUUGGUCUUCAAUUAAAACAAUGUGGAAUAGUUUCACAAACUCAUGCCACCUAGAACACCACAGCGUAAUGGUGUGUCCGAACGUCAUAACCGUACUUUAUUUGAUAUAGUGCAAUCUAUGAUGUCUCUUACUGAUUUACCACUAUCGUUUUGGGGUUAUGCAUUAGAGACAGCUGCAUUCACAUUAAAAGGGGCACAAUCUAAAUCCAUUGAGACGACACUGUAUGAACUGUUGUUUAGCAAGAAACCUAAGCUAUCGUUUCUUAAAGUUUGGGGUUGCUUUGCUUAUGUGAAAAAUUUUCAUCUUGAUAAGCUCAAACCCAAGUCGAAGAAGUGUGUCUUCAUAGGAUACCCAAAAGUAACUGUUGGGUACACCUUCUAUCACAUAUCCGAAGGCAAGAUAUUUGUUGCUGAGAAUGGAUCCUUUCUAUAGAAGGAGUUUCUUCUUGAAAGAAGUGAGUGGGAGGAAAGUAGAACUUGAUGAGGUAACUAUACCUGCUCCCUUAUUGGAAAGUAGUUCAUCACAGAAAUCUGUUUCCGUGACUCCUACACCAACUAGUGAGGAAGCUAAUGAUGAUGACCAUGUAACUUCAGAUCAAGUUACUACCGAACCUCGUAGAUAAACCAGAGUGAGAUCCGCACCAGAGUGGUACGGUAAUCCUGUUCUGGAGGUCAUGCUAAUUGACCAUGACGAACCUAUGAACUAUGAGGAAGCGAUGAUGAGCCCAGAUUCCGCGAAAUGGCUUGAGGCCAUGAAAUCUGAGAUGGGAUGCAUAUAUGAGAACAAAGUGUGGACUUUGGUUGACUUGCCCGAUGAUCGGCAAGCCAUAGAAAAUAAAUGGAUCUUCAAGAGGAAGACAGACGCUGAUAAUAGUGUUACUAUCUACAAAGCUAGACUUGUCGAAAAAGGUUUUGACAAAGUUCAAGGUGUUGACUACGAUGAGAUUUUCUCACUCAUAUCGAUGCUUAAGUCUGUCCGAAUCAUGUUAGCAAAUUGACACAUUUUAUGAAAUCUGGUAAAUGGAUGUCAAAACUACAUUCCUUAAUGGAUUUCUUAAAGAAGAGUUGUAUAUGAUGCAACCAGAAGGUUUUGUCGAUCCUAAAGGUGCUAACAAAAUGUGCAAACUCCAGCGAUCCAUCUAUGGACUAGUGCAAGCAUCUCAGAGUUGGAAUAUACGCUUUGAUGAGUUGAUCAAAGCAUAUAGUUUUAUACAGAUUUGUGGUGAAGCCUGUAUUUACAAGAAAGUGAGUGGGAGCACUACAACAUUUCUGAUAAAUAUAUGUGAAUGACAUAUUUUUGAGGGGAAAUAAUGUAGAAUUUUCUUGAAAGCAUAAAGGAGUAUUUGAAAGGAGUUUUUCAAAUAAAGACCUCGGUGAAGCUACUUACAUAUUGAGCAUCAAGAUCUAUAGAGAUAGAUCAAGCCACUUGAUAAGUUUUUUCAAUGAGUACAUACCUUGACAAGAUUUUGAAGUAGUUCAAAAUGGAAUAGUCAAAGAAAGAGUUCUUACCUGGGUUACAAGGUGUGAAAUUGAGUAAGACUCAAAGCCCGACCACGGCAGAAGAUAGAAAGAGAAUGAAAGUCAUUCCCUAUGCCUCAGCCAUAGUUUCUAUAAAGUAUGCCAUGCUAUGUACCAGAUCUAUUGUAUACCCUACACUGAGUUUAGCAAUGAAGUACAAUAUUGAUCUAGGAGUAGAUCACUGGACAGCGGUCAAAAUUUUCCUUAGUGGAAUAAGGAUAUGUUUCUCGAUUAUGGAGGUGACACAAGGUUCGUCGUAAAGGGUUACAUCAAUGCAAAUUUUGACACUAAUUCAGAUGACUCUAAGUCUCAAUCUGGAUAGAUUUUGAAAGUGGGAGCAAUUAGCUAGAGUAGCUCCGUGCAUAGCAUUGUUGACAUAGAAAUUUAUAAAAAUACAUACGGAUCUGAAUGUGGCAGACCCGUAGACUAAACUUCUUUCACAAGCAAAACAUGAUCACACCUUAGUACUCUUUGGGUGUUAAUCACGUAGCGAUGUGAACUAGAUUAUUGACUCUAGUAAACCCUUCGGGUGUUGGUCACAUGACAAUGUGAACUAUGGGUGUUAAUCACAUGGUGAUGUGAACUAUUGGUGUUAAAUCACAUGGCGAUGUGAACUAGAUUAUUGACUCUAGUGCAAGUGGGAGACUGAAGGAAAUAUGCCCUAGAUGCAAUAAUAAAGUUAUUAUUUAUUUCCUUAUUUCAUAAGAAAUGUUCAUUAUUCAUGCUAGAAUUGUAUUAACCGAAAACAUAAUACAUGUGUGAAUACAUAGACAAACAUAGUGUCACUAGUAUGCCUCUACUUGACUAGCUCGUUCAAAGAUGGUUAAGUUUCCUAACCAUAGACAUGAGUUGUCAUUUUAUUAACAAGAUCACAUCAUUAGGAGAAUGAUGUGAUUGACUUGACCCAUUCCGUUAGCUUAGCACUUGAUCGUUUUGUAUGUUGCUAUUGCUUUCUUCAUGACUUAUACAUGUUCCUAUGACUAUGAGAUUAUGCAACUCCCAUUUACCGGAGGAACACUUUGUGUGCUACCAAACGUCACAACGUAACUGGGUGAUUAUAAAGAUGCUCUACAGGUGUCUCCGAAGGUACUUAUUGAGUUGGUGUAUUUCGAGAUUAGGAUUUGUCACUCCGAUUAUCGGAGAGGUAUCUCUGGGCCCACUCAGUAAUGCACAUCACUAUAAGCCUUGCAAGCAUUGUAACUAAUAAGUUAGUUACGGGAUGAUGUAUUACAAAACGAGUAAAGAGACUUGCCGGUAGAGAGAUUGAACUAGGUAUUGGGAUACCGACGAUCGAGUCUCGGGCAAGUAACAUACCGAUGACAAAGAGAACAACGUAUAGUGUUAUGCAGUUUGACCGAUAAAGAUCUUUGUAGGAUAUGUAGGAACCAAUAUGAGCAUCCAGGUUCCGCUAUUGGUUAUUGACCGGAGACAUGUCUCGGUCAUGUCUACAUAGUUCUCGAACCCGUAGGGUCCGCACGCUUAAAGUUCUGUGAUGAUCGGUUUUAUUAGUUUAUAUGUUUUGAUGUACCAAAGGUAGUUCGGAGUCCCGGAUAUGAUCACGGAAAUGACAAGGAGUCUCGAAAUGGUCGAGACAUAAAGGUUGAUAUAUUGGAAGCCUGCAUUUGCACAUCGGAAGAGUUCCGGGUAAAAUCGGGAUUUUACCGGAGUACCGGAGGGGUUAUCAGAACCCCCCGGGGGCUAAUGGGACUUGUUGGGCCAUAAGGGAAAGAGAGAGGGGCCGGCCUAGGGUAGGGAGCGCGCCCCCUCCCUCUGGUCCGAAUUGGACUAGGAGAGGUGUAACGACCCGACCCAAAUGGAUCAAGUCUCUGUGCUUAAGUGUCAUCCCUGGAUCGGUAUGCUGACACACACAGUACUCAAGGAUUUAUAAUAGAGGUAAAUCACAUGUAUAAAGUAACGUAAAUACUAUUACCUCAAUCCAAAAUAGCGAAAGUAACAACAAGGUCGUGGAUUCCCAUCAACACCAACAGCAAAGUUGAGUGUAGAAAUCGUAACCCUAACGUAUCACUUACUCGUCGUAAGAUUCGUGCAACAUGAGACGUUGCAGCCACAAAGGGUCAGUACAUUGAAUGUACUGGCAAAUUCACACCAUAGAGAGAAAUGAUGAACAAUGGCUAUCACUACAUGCAUAUAUGGCUGGUGGAAAAGCUCUAUGGUUAUAAGGUUUUUGCGAAAAGCCAAUUUUUCCCUACUGCAAAGGAAUAAAUUUUAUUUAACUAUCAUGGUGGUUGUUGAACAUUGAGAAUGGUUGACAGAACAUGGAGCAUUAGAACUCAAAGUUUUUGUAAAUAAAACCCCAAGCCAGGAGAUAUCAAUUAUGGAAUGAAAGCUCAUGGUAGUAACAUGGGCAUAGACACGGCUAACCAUGGAGUUAUCGCCGCUUAUGCUAUUAUCACCGUGCUGAGUUAAGCAUGCAUUUCUUCGGAAGGAUUGGAUGGUAGAAGGCUGAUGGAGCACCUAUCAACAAGAGAGGAAGUUUUAGCUGGUGUAUCACCAGGAUCUGGAGUAUUACAUCAAGGAUUUUAAGAUGGACCUGCAGGAAGCCGUAUUUGACGAGAAAGCAUGUCGUGAAGAACUUAGGAGCAAGAAGUUGAAGCAGCCAAGCUAGCGGAAUAAAACCUUGAGAUACAGGAGAUUCGACAGGAACUGAAGGACAGUAGGACAAUGGUUCAUGCGAAGGAUGUUAAAACCAGAAGUUCGGAACGCAACUCCAGAAUAUUAAAGGACGUCACGAGAGACUUCGCGUCAACAAGAAUGAUCUGGAAAAAGAACUUGAGAAAGACAAGCAUGAUCGGAAGAAGCCAUUGGAGGCAUGAACAAGGCUUGAAGAGUUUGGAGACGUUGAAGAUUUAUUGACCUUUAGAAGACCAAACCCCUAUUAUAUACCUACGUUAGAUGCGAUGUUUGUGAGCUGUCAUUUGUUUGACAUUUUUCCCGACAGCCACAAAUAAAAUCUGUCUUUUCAAAACUUUUGUUUGUAUUGUGUGUAUCCCUCUCUAUCUCUCUUAUCUCGCCCCAAACCCAUGGACCCAAUAGAGGAUGAAUGAAGAUGAGCUUAUAUUUUCUGGACCGAUGAGUCAAUUGGAGACGGACCAAUGGAUUCAGAACAUGGAGGAUCACAUGAAGAAUAACCCUAUAGUCGGAAAGGAUAUGACCCAACAUGCUCUUCAGUGCUUUGAAAGAGGUGCCGCUACUUGGUGGAGGAUGUACCAAACCAUCAAUGGAUGGCAAGGAGUAACCACUUGGAAAGAAUUUAAGUUGACUCUGCCAAAGUCUCGGCUUGUGUCCCAGAAGUUGAAGCCUUAUGGAAAGGAUAUGAAGAAACCUUGUGCAUGCAAGAUUUGUGGAGAAAUAGGACACACCCAUAAAGAACACAAGGAUGAAUGCACUAAUUGUGAAGGAAAUCACCCAGUUGAAGAAUGCCCAACUAGGCAGAUUACUUGUUUCUUGUGUGAAGGUACUACCCACUAUCCUGCUCAGUGUCACAUUUACCCCAUGGUACAACGAACCAUCUAGCAGAAGAAAGAAGUAAUGAAAGUAGCCCUCAUGGAAAUUUUAGAAGAAGUUGUGAUGAAGGAAGAGAUGGAGGACACACCUAAAGAAGACCCGAGUAAACCCUGCACUAAGUCUUUCUAUUCAUGUGGAGAAGAAGGAGACAUCUCCCAAUUUUUUUUGAAUGGGGAUCUAGUAUAAUUCCCGACAGAGGAAGUAGAAUAUGACCCACGGGAAAUAGAAGCCCUGAUUGGAAUGGAAAAGUACAGAAAGAGAAACCAAUUGGGGCCCAGGAGGGACCUGAGUCAUAUCACCUGUUAUAGGUGCAAGGAGUCAGGGCACUACCCCAACAGUUGCCCAAAAAGGAAACCUCGAUACUUGUCAGAAGUAAUAUGUUUUAGUUGUAAUGAAGCAGGGCACUUUGCCAGAGAAUGACCCAAGGAGAAGGAAACUUGUGCUAGAUAGUUGAGUUUGCAACAAAAGAAAUGGAGUAGUAGAAGUGAGAACACUUUCUUUUGAGGUGUUGAGUUGAGACAUGUAAUGGAACAGCGAGAGAUUGUAAUCAUUUGAGAAUGAAUAAAGUUAGCAUCAUUGGUACUGAUAUGGAUUUUAUGAGUUGUUACUCUAUGAAGAAGGAUUAUGACCAUUUUGAGGAUAGGAGAAAAAUGGUCUAUGGAAGAUUUGUGCAUUUUAAGGGUGGUAGUACCCUGUAAGAACCAUUGACCCUGGAAAAAGGAUACUCCACUGAGUGGAUUUCAGACAAAAGGAAUACGAGUUUUGUCCCGAUAUGUGUGAUAUUCCAAGAGUAUGUGGGAUAAAGUUGGAGAACGUCAGUUGUUUGGACCAAAUGUGAUCAAGGAGUCAGAAGAGAAUGUUAAAUUGAUUCGAGAUAGACUGAAGGUAGCUCAGUCCAGGCAGAAGAGUUGUGCAGACUCAAAAUGCAAGGAGGUAGUCUAUGAAAUGGGAGACGGAGCAUGUCUUCGUGUGUCCCCUCUGCGAGGAGUUAAACGAUUUGUAGUUAAGGGAAUGUUAGCCUCGAGAUUUGUAGGACCAUACCGAGUUUUGGAGCGUAUGGGAGAAGUGGCCAACAAGUUGGAGUCACCCGAAGAACUAUCAGGAGUUCACGACGUGCUUCAUGUAUCCCAGUUGAAGAAGUGCCACGCAGAGAUGGCUGACAUACCGCUGAGAGAUACGGUACCACUGGAAGCAAUUCAGUUGGACAGUGAUUUGACCUAUGAGGAGAAACCCGUUAAGAUUCUAGAGUAUGCUAGUCGAGUCACCCGCAGCAAGGUUAUCAAGUUUUGCAAGGUUCAGUGGAGCCACCACACGGAGGAUGAAGCCACCUGGGAACGAGAGGAAGAUUUGCUGAAGGACUACCCUCACCUAUUUACUAGCCAACCCGAAUCUCGAGGGCGAGAUUCAUCUUAAGGGGGGUAGGUUUGUGACAUCCCAAAUUUUCAAUUUGGAAUGUUAUACACUAGAUCAUCAUUGCAUAUCAUAUUUAUUGCAUUUUGGUUGAUCCUAGAAAUUUUUCGCAACUCAAGGACCCUUGGAGAGAGUUGGGGAUUUCGUUAUUUUCAUAUUUGAGUUUUCUCAAAUUUUGAAAUAGGGAUCAUUUGAUUUUAUUUAUUUUAUCUUCAAUUAUUUCUACUAUCAAAAUAUGAGAGAGGGAAUAAAAUGACUUUCCCAAAAUAAAGAAAUAUUGAGGAUUUAAUAAUAAAAAUCAAAUAAGAUUUUAUUUGGUUUAUUUGCUAUUUUAUUUGAAUUUAGGAAAAAUGCGCGUUUUUCAAAAUUGCAUUUAGGCCCCAAAUAAAUGUUCAUCCUGUGCGGCUUGAUUUUAGAAGCCGGGGAAAAUUUAUUUCGGGAUUUUUGGAGUCCGUUUACUAUUCCUUUUGUUUUUUUCUGAGCGUAAUUUAAAACAAACGCAACCGACCUACGGGCCGUGUCCGACCCGGACACAAGGCCUGUCUGGCUUUAUAAGCCGGGGAGGCCCAGCUGGAACCCCCCCAAACCCUAGCCGCCGCCACCACCACCCGCGCCGCCCCGCGCCGCCACCCGUGCCGCCCUGCGAUGCCCCGCCACCCGCGCUGCCCCGCCGCCGCCGCCGCCGAUGAUCGCCGGAGCCACGCUGCCGCCACCGUUCGCUGGAGCGCCGAGGUAGACGCCGUUGCCUUGGUUUUCGCGAAGAAAACCGAUCGGUUAAAAAAAAACAAAAAAAACUUAGAUCUAUUUUUUUCGUUAGAUCGGUUUUUCCGGUUUAUUUAUUUAGCGAACGUUCGUCCGUUCGUUCAUUUUAAUGAACGUUCUUCGUUUUUCUUUUUCUCGGAUUAAAUCCGCGAUUUUUUUGAUCGUGAUUUCUGAUCCGAUUUUCAUUUUAGUCUAACUUUUCGCUCGUUUAUCGAAAUCAGGCGAUUCAAGCGCCUGGAGUUUCGUCUCGAAUCCCUCUUUCCGAUUAACCAACUCAAACAAGUUUUUGCCACUGUAAAUAUUGCCUUAGAUCCAGAAUAGUAAACGAAGCAUGUUUCUUUUGCCGUUUUGUCUUUUGUUGCUUCGUUCGAUUUGAUUUUUUUGGCAACCGGAGUUCUUAAGUUGAACCUUCUGGUUAGAGCUCUUAUUUGAGUUUCACCUGUGCAUUAGUUGAGUACUUAUUGUAUGCUUGUUUGUUUGCGUUAGAGUACCCAGAGUGCGCCGCUUGUUACUUCGAAUCGCUAGGUUUCCCGGAUUAUCAACAUGGCAAGUAACACUUUGAUCAUACCUCCUACUACCCAGUUUUAUUGCAUUAGAUCAAUCCUUACACAUUGCAUGAUUAGGAUCUAAUUAAAUUGUGGGUUUGGAAAGUAGUUGAGGUAGUACCUAUUACCUGUUUAUUAUCAAAACCUUUGGGAGUUACUUCUACGUUGCUUAUUAUGCCAUGCUAUGCUAGUAGACGUGGAUUGGGUGAGUGUAUCCAUGACAGAUGUGAGUUUGUUAAUUAAUGGUUUAUUUAAGGUGGCAACUUAAACACACAUCUGGGUGGAUUGAGGUACCUCAGUAUUCCAGGAUUGCCUGUUUUUCUUUAUGGAUCGCCACCCAGGCUCAAAGGGAUCAUGAGAUUAUUCAUGCUAGAAACUUCCGUGUGCAGCCACAAGCUAUUAUGGGCUCUAGCAUAGUUGAAUAAGUCGUGCGAACUCUUACAGUGGUAGACUAGCAGAUGUAGGGGAUGUAGGUGGUACAGUCUACCCAUCGUAAGGUGCCAGCACUUCUGAAAGACUAUGUCUUGGUCAUCCGUUUCUCAAACACCGUGUAGUGCGAGAAACCAAACGGAGGCGAUCGAGUCUUGUGGGGAAAAGUGCGCAAACCUCUGCAGAGUUUAUAAACUAAUCAUGGUUAGCCGUGUCCCCGGUUAUGGACAUCUUGAGUAUCUAGUACCUGGAUUAUCAUGUGAAUCUCAACAUGUUACUAUAAAAUUUAAUUUUGAUGGGUUUGUUUAAUGAUGAUGUUUAAUUGGGAUUGAGAAUGCUGUCAACCAUUCUCAAUGUUUAACAACCACCAUGAUAGUUAAAUAAAUUUAUUCCUUUGCAGUAGGGAAAAAUUAACUUUUCGCAAAACUGUAACCAUAGAGCUUUCCACCAGCCAAAUAUGCAUAUAGAAUAGCUGUUUCAUUCCAUUACUCUCUAUGUGUUACAUUGCCAGCAUAUUCCAUGUGCUGACCCGUUUCAGGCUGCAACGUUAAUUUUGCAGACUUUUCAGACGACGAUUAAGGAGUUUUUAGGUGGUGGUUCUAUACUCAGUGUUGCCAUUGGAGUUGAUGGACUCACUUAUCUUCCAAGCCUUCUGCCGUUAUCGUUAUUAGAUGGCCUUAUGCCAUAUUUAUUGUAAUAAGUUCUCUUUUGGGGACACUCGAUGUAAUAAGUGUGUGAUUGCUACUCUGUUAUAAAUCCUUCAAGUACUAUGUGGUGUCAGCAUUACUGAUCCAGGGAUGACACCGGAGCACAGAGAUUGGACCGUUUGAGGUCUGGUCGCUACAAGAGGGGGGGGCGCCCCCCUUUCCUUCUCUUUCUUCCCCUUCCUUUCCCCGUCCUAGUAGGAGUAGGAAAGGGAGGAAUCCUACUCCUACUAGGAGGAUGAUUCCUCCUCCUGGCGCACCAACAAGGGCCGGCCGGCCUCCCCCUUGCUCCUUUAUAUACAGGGGCAGGGGGCACCUCUGGACACACAAGUUGAUCACAAAAAUCUCUCCCGGCCGUGUGCGGUGCCCCCCUCCACCAUAAUCUACCUUGGUCAUACUGUAGCGGUGUUUAGGCGAAGCCCUGCUGCGGUAGCUUCAUCAACAUCGUCACCACGCCGUCGUGCUGACGAAACUCUUCCUCGAGCUCUACUGGAUCAUGAGUUUGCGGGACGUCACCGAGCUGAACGUGUGCUAAACGCGGAGGUGCCGUACGUUCAGUACUGAGGAUCGGUCGAUCGUAAAAUGUACGACUACAUCAACCGCGUUGUCAUAACGCUUCCGCUUAAUGAUCUACGAGGGUACGUGGACGACACUCUCCCCUCUUUUUGCUAUGCAUCACCAUGAUCCUGCGUGUGCGUAGGAUUUUUUUUUGAAAUUACUAUGUUUCCCAACAAACCUCAGUCCUCAGUAUACAACAAUCUCAUUCUACAUAUCUGUAUGUAUUGUUCAAGUGUUCACAAUAACACUGAAUUUAUAUAUUGCAAAAAAUUCAGCGGUGAUAUGCACAUCUUAGAGAAAAUUUUAAAAUAAUGUCAAGAUAAAUUCUUGGACCCAAGUACGUGGGAGUACAAAACUCAG